rnacentral:lncRNA from 1 species
AGAGACAAAUAUGUGCCGAUAUGCUGCGGUGUAAGGUCAUUUUCGUGGAUAUAUGACAUCAGUUCACCUCAAGUUCACACAAGCUGUGUCCAAAAGCUGAAAAAUAGAGGGCAACAGCGGGUCAAAUUGCUCCUGGGCCUCAAUCAUCUUCAUCAUCAUUUACUGAUCAUCUUCCUUUGGUCAUUUUCCAGCAUGAUCUUUCCAGAACCUGAUCCCCAACUAUUUUACAACAGAGUAAACCAUAUUAUUAUAGGAUUAAUGAUGCAAAUCUUGGAUUGCAAGAAGUGCACAGAGCAUAAAAGACAAUUAAAAGCCAUCAUUAAAGAGGCCAGAAAUUCCAAGUUGGUAUGGUUCAUGGUUUAACACUCCCCAUGCAGUAAAUAUGCCUUGAACUUAGUGCCAAAUUCAGUCAUUUGUGGAUAAUAUCCACACAAACAAUCCCCAUGUACAUCCUCUGACUCAUCGUGAGAUCAGCAACAACUCUGAAAGCUCUUAAUAGAACUUUAUAAUAAUAAUACUACAUUUCCUGUCUCAUGUGUGUCAUUGAGGUUAACAUUAUUUGAAUUUAUGGCCACGCUUCAGUUGGGGGACCAAUUCUCACCAUUGACUUCCUAUUAACUGCAAAUUUUGGAUCAAUAAACCCUACUUUGCUGAUGAUAAAUACUUAGUGAGGUAGCUGUUAAGCAGUAACUACUUAAAUCUAAAUGCAACUGUAAUCUGUUACAGUUACUAAGAAAAAAAAGUGUAAAUAAAUUAUGUUUACUUAUGAAAAUGUUAACGAUUACAAAGGAAUAAAAUGCUAAGAUAUGUUGAAUAAUAUUAAUUUGUUGCUUUGCCUGUUUUUGAUGUUCACAAUGCCUCCUGCCAUUUAAAGAGAUUUGCAGUUCAAAACACCUGCCAGUUACUGUACAUGAAUCCACAUUGUCGCUGAGAGCUUUAAGCCAUAACCUGUCUGAGAGUUGAUUAACUGAUUAUAAGUUGAAAACGUGUUAGACAUUUAGAAAAGUAAUCAAAUGUAAUCAGUUACAUUACUUUAAUAAAGUAAUUUAACUACUUACACUACUUAAUUACAUUUUAAAUAGGGUAACUUGUAAUCUUUAACUUAUUACAUUUCCAAAGUAACCUUCCCAACACUGUUGUUAAAUUAAGUAUGUGUAGGAUAAAGUGAUAUAUGGUCCCGCAGAAUAAGGCAUUAAUGUGCAUUUAAUAAGUACUAAUAAAAAGCAAAUAUACAUGCUAAUAAGCAACUAGUUAAUAGUGAGAACUGGUCCUUGAAAUGAAGAACUAAAGAAUUUAUAAAAUUUACCACAGUAAAUGAUAAGUACAGGCAUGAGUAGAGUUUUGGAUAACAACUGUCUUCAGUGCAGAGUCUUCCAUUUCCAAACUGAAUUAAUCAAAACAUCUAAAGCUUUGAUUUUGCAGUAUAUUGAGAACAGCAUUAAAAAGAAGUGAAUUUCACUUUCAGGUCUGACGCAGUGAACAUGUGACAUGACAGUAUGACAAUAGGCAUAUGUUUUUCAUUUUAAAAGAACUUGCUAAGUGUCAGCUCACCAGCAUUACCCAUCCAAAGACGAUUUAAGAUGGUCCAAAUGAAUCAGAGCUGUUCUUUUUUUCAUUCUCUUAUUAUAAGUAUUUACUUUUUAAUCUCUAUUUAAUUUUCUACUGUUUUUAUCGCUAAUUAAAUAGGGAAUUAUUUUUAUGUUUUCAGAAUUAAUGUAGUGAAUACUACAUUACAUACUUUUGAAAUCUCUUACAUCCUUGUAUUAGCAACAUGCCUUAUUUGACAUGAAGUGCCGUCAGACAUGCUUUUCUCCCAAACAGACCUUGAGAUCAGUCAGUAAUUAAUGAUCCUCAUGGCAAGAACCAGCAUUAAACGAAGUGAACAAUUUCAGGACUGACAGAGAUUAUGAAACAAAAAUGAUUACGGUCAUUGUAAUAGAACAAUAAUAUCCUGCAUACUAAAGUAUUAAUGUGCUAGAUUAAAAUAGGCCCAUCCAUUAGAGCACUGAUUUUUCAUUUAAUCUUUAUGGGAAGGAAAUAAGAUUCAUAAUCCUUUGAUUUGCUAGGAAAUGGGAAGCAGAGGAAUAUCUUUUAAUAACCACAGUCUCCUUGACAGCCAAGUCAUGCAGUACGCAGAGCUGAGAACAGAGGAAAGCAGAAAGCAACUAUUGUUACUGCAUGGCAAAUAUUUGCAGAGUGGUUUGACAGUAAAGAUACAGAAAAACACAUAAAAAUGGCAUAUUUGUUUUUGUGAAAUUGUGAGGGGGAAAAAAUGUUUUUGAGCGUUCUACAAAGAAUUUGGAUUAAGUGAGCCUGCCUUGUUCACUGUGUUGCCAUGACAUAGUUCUCAUUUGUUAAUUCAGCGUGACACAAUUUUUUUUUUUUAAACAUAUUGACCUUUUAAACUUUAUUUAAAUUCAAAGUAUUUCAAGUAUUCAAGUAUUUUUUAUUGUCACAUACAUGAUUAUAUGGAGAGCAUAUGACCAGCAGUGAAAUGUAAGUCAGGUCUGCUC